UACGAAGGGGGCUAGCGUUGCUCGGAAUCACUAGGCGUAAAGGGUGCGUAGGCGGGUUUUAAGUCAGGGGUGAAAUCCUGGAGCUCAACUCCAGAACUGCCUUUGAUACUGAAGAUCUUGAGUCCGGGAGAGGUGAGUGGAACUGCGAGUGUAGAGGUGAAAUCGUAGAUAUUCGCAAGAACACCAGUGGCGAAGGCGGCUCACUGGCCCGGUACUGACGCUGAGGCACGAAAGCGUGGGGAGCAAACAGG
rnacentral:rRNA from 1 species